rnacentral:rRNA from 1 species
GACGAACGCUGGCGGCGUGCUUAACACAUGCAAGUCGAACGGUGACCUCGAGAGCUUGCUCUUGAGUGAUCGGUGGCGAACGGGUGAGUAACACGUGAGUAACCUGCCCCAGACUCUGGAAUAACCCCGGGAAACCGGAGCUAAUACCGGAUACGAAGUAGAGCUGCAUGGCUACUACUUGGAAAGUUUUUCGGUCUGGGAUGGACUCGCGGCCUAUCAGCUUGUUGGUGAGGUAACGGCUCACCAAGGCGACGACGGGUAGCCGGCCUGAGAGGGCGACCGGCCACACUGGGACUGAGACACGGCCCAGACUCCUACGGGAGGCAGCAGUGGGGAAUAUUGCACAAUGGGCGAAAGCCUGAUGCAGCGACGCCGCGUGAGGGAUGACGGCCUUCGGGUUGUAAACCUCUUUCAGCAGGGAAGAAGCGAAAGUGAUGGUACCUGCAGAAGAAGCACCGGCUAACUACGUGCCAGCCGCCGCCGUAAUAC